GACGAACGCUGGCGGCGUGCUUAACCCAUGCAAGUCGAACGGUAAGGCCCUUCGGGGUACACGAGUGGCGAACGGGUGAGUAACACGUGGGUGAUCUGCCCUGCACUUCGGGAUAAGCCUGGGAAACUGGGUCUAAUACCGGAUAGGACCCUGGGAUGCAUGUCCUGGGGUGGAAAGCUUUUGCGGUGUGGGAUGGGCCCGCGGCCUAUCAGCUUGUUGGUGGGGUGAUGGCCUACCAAGGCGACGACGGGGAGCCGGCCUGAGAGGGUGACCGGCCACACUGGGAGUGAGAUACGGCCCAGGCUCCUACGGGAGGCAGCAGUGGGGAAUAUUGCACAAUGGGCGCAAGCCUGAUGCAGCGACGCCGCGUGAGGGAUGACGGCCUUCGGGUUGUAAACCUCUUUCAGCACCGACGAAGCGCAAGUGACGGUAGGUGCAGAAGAAGGACCGGCCAACUACGUGCCAGCCGCCGCGGUAA
rnacentral:rRNA from 1 species